rnacentral:lncRNA from 1 species
GAUUCCAGCUCUGAAAACAGCCCCUGUUCUAAGGUUUCUCCCAGCCUUGACAUUCCCUGUUCUAGUCCCUCUCCAGGCUCUGACAUUCCCUGUUCUAAGCCCCCUCCAGGCUUGGACAUUCCCUGUUCUAGUCCCUCUCCAGGCUCUGACAGUCCCUGUUCUAGUCCCUCUCCAGGCUCUGACAGUUCCUGUUCUGCACCCUCUCUCAGCUCUGAUAUUUCCUGUUCUAAGCCCCCUCCAGGCUCUGACAGUCCCUGUUCUAAGCCCCCUCCAGGCUCUGACAGUCCCUGUUCUAAGCCCCCUCCAGGCUCUGACAGUCGCUGUUCUAAGCCCUCUCCAGGCUCUAACAGUCCCUGUUCUAGUCCCUCUCUCAGCUCUGAUAUUUCCUGUUCUGCACCCUCUCUCAGCUCUGAUAUUUCCUGUUCUAAGCCCCCUCCAGGCUCUGACAGUCCCUGUUCUAGUCCCUCUCCAGGCUCUGACAGUCCCUGUUCUAAGCCCCCUCCAGGCUCUGACAGUCGCUGUUCUAAGCCCUCUCCAGGCUCUAACAGUCCCUGUUCUAGUCACUCUCUCAGCUCUGAUAUUGCCUGUUCUAAGCCGCCUCCAGGCUCUGACAGUCCCUGUUCUAGUCCCUCUCCAGGCUCUGACAGUCCCUGUUCUAAGCCCCCUCCAGGCUCUGACAUUCCCUGUUCUAAGCCCUCUCCAGGCUCUGACAGUCCCUGUUCUAGUCCCUCUCUCAGCUCUGAUAUUUCCUGUUCUGCACCCUCUCUCAGCUCUGAUAUUUCCUGUUCUAAGCCCCCUCCAGGUUCUGACAGUUCCUGUUCUAAGCCCCCUCCAGGCUCUGACAGUCCCUGUUCUAAGCCCCCUCCAGGCUCUGACAGUCCCUGUUCUAAGCCCUCUCCAGGCUCUGACAGUCCCUGUUCUAAGCCCCCUCCCAGCUCUGACAGUCCCUGUUCUAAGCCCCCUCCCAGCUCUGACAGUCCCUGCUCUAAGCCCCCUCCAGGCUCUGACAGUCCCUGUUCUAAGCCCCCUCCCAGCUCUGACAGUCCCUGCUCUAAGCCCCCUCCAGGCUCUGACAGUCCCUGUUCUAAGCCCUCUCCAGGCUCUGACAUUCCCUGUUCUGCACCCUCUCUCAGCCCUGACAUUCUCCUUUUCCGGGUCACUCCCAGCUCCUAUAGUCUGGGCCUUAAAAAUCCUUCCGGGUUCUCUUCUCGGUGCUCCCUGGGAGUCUUUUCUCCUUUCCUGGUUCAAGGUCCCUCUCGGCCCCGGGGUUCUCUGGGCUUGGCACUCCGGGGGUGCCGCCCUCCCUGCAGCCUCCAGGAGCCUCGCUCAGGUGCAGGGGAGCCACAGACAAAGGAGGACACAACGGCAGCUCUCCGGGAGUCUCUGCGAGCCACGGAAAGGCUGUGUGCAGGGAGGAGAAGGGAAUUGAAGCGCCAACCCCAACGUGGGCUCACCUUGGCCCUUUAG